AAUGGUUAUCAACCCCCUUAGA
rnacentral:tRNA from 1 species